rnacentral:rRNA from 1 species
AUGUUGUAUGGCGCGGAGUGUUGGCCGACUAAAAGGCGACAUGUUCAACAGUUAGGUGUGGCGGAGAUGCGUAUGUUGAGAUGGAUGUGUGGCCACACGAGGAAGGAUCGAGUCCGGAAUGAUGAUAUACGAGAUAGAGUUGGGGUAGCACCAAUUGAGGAGAAGCUUGUCCAACAUCGUUUGAGAUGGUUUGGGCAUAUUCAGCGCAGGCCUCCAGAAGCUCCAGUGCAUAGCGGACGGCUAAAGCGUGCGGAGAAUGUCAAGAGAGGGCGGGGUCGACCGAUUUUGACAUGGGAGGAGUCCGUUAAGAGAGACCUGAAGGAUUAG